rnacentral:rRNA from 1 species
GAUGAACGCUGGCGGCGUGCUUAAUACAUGCAAGUCGAACGAACAGGCGAUGAUCUUGCGGCGCGCACGAGUGCCGAAGGGGUGAGUAAAACGCGUGUAAAACGUACCUGUAAUAGGGAUAUCUCUAGGAAACACGGGCUCAUAUAGGAUAGGAGAUAUUGCAGCACGGUGGGGGAUGGUAAGAUUCGGCGGUUGGGGAUGGUUUAGCGGCUUACCAGCUUGGUGGUGGGGUAGUGGCUUACCAAGGCUUUGACGGGUAGCCGGCCUGAGAGCGUGACCGGCCUCAAGAGGACUGAGAUACGGCCCAGUCGCCAACGGGACGCAGCGGUGGGGAAUAUGGCGCAGUAGGCGGAAGCCUGAGACGGCAACGCCGCGUGCGUAAUGACGGCCUUCUAGUUAUGAACCACUGUCUCCGGUGACGAAGCGGGAGUGACGGUAAUGAGUAAGAAAGCACCGGCUAACUACGUG